rnacentral:rRNA from 1 species
CAGCAGCCGCGGUAAUACGUAGGUGGCAAGCGUUGUCCGGAAUUAUUGGGCGUAAAGGGCUCGCAGGCGGUUUCUUAAGUCUGAUGUGAAAGCCCCCGGCUCAACCGGGGAGGGUCAUUGGAAACUGGGAAACUUGAGUGCAGAAGAGGAGAGUGGAAUUCCACGUGUAGCGGUGAAAUGCGUAGAGAUGUGGAGGAACACCAGUGGCGAAGGCGACUCUCUGGUCUGUAACUGACGCUGAGGAGCGAAAGCGUGGGGGGCGAACAGGAUUAGAUACCCGAGUAGUCCCUGUCUCUUAUAC